GACGAACGCUGGCGGCGUGCUUAACACAUGCAAGUCGAACGGACAGGCGCUGCUUUUGCUGGGUGCUCGAGUGGCGCACGGGUGAGUAACACGUGUGUAACCUGCCCUUGACUUUGGGAUAACUUCUGGAAACUGGGGCUAAUACCGGAUAGGAGCUCUUGAUGCAUGGUGGGGAUUGGUAAGUUUCGGCGGUUGGGGAUGGACUCGCGGCUUAUCCGCUUGUUGGUGGGGUAGUGGCUUACCAAGGCUUUGACGGGUAGCCGGCCUGAGAGGGUGACCGGCGACAUUGGGACUGAGAUACGGACCAGACUCCUACGGGAGGCAGCAGUGGGGAAUAUUGCACAAUGGGCGGAAGCCUGAUGCAGCAACGCCGCGUGCGGGAUGACGGCUUUCGGGUUGUAAACCGCUUUCGCCGGUGACGAAGCGUGAGUGACGGUAAUGGGUAAAGAAGCACCGGCUAACUACGUG
rnacentral:rRNA from 1 species